GGCGGGAGGGACGCGGGAGCCGCCGAGCCGGGCCCCAGGGGGCGGGGAGCGGAAUUUGAAGAGCCGCGGGGCCCGCAGCGUGCGCCGGGAGGGACGCGAAGCCUCGCGCAGCUCGCCUCCCGAAUUUGCACGAAGUUCUGCAGCAAAGCACCGUCACGGUAUCGGCUCGAGAGUCCCGCCGCACAAGCUGGUGCAAAGUGCAGGAACAGCUGGGCCCCGCAGCUGCACGAGGGAGAGACGGCGACAGAAAUGAAAAGGGAAACAAUGUAGCGAGCAGAGCGAAUAAACUACAAAGGGCAGCACCGAGAGAAUGGUGAAGAGCAAGGGCAGUAGAAGGGCACCGAUUAAAGAAAAAUGCAAGUGGGGGAGGAACGGUAGCCGGGAACUGGAAGCCGGACGCCCACCCUGGCGGAGCGGGAAAGACAAGAAUUUAGUGAUGCAUUGAUUAUCUCUGCCACCCUCCUCCCCUUUCUGCCUUCCGUGCCGUCCUAGUCCUCAAUGUUGCCUUUCAGUGCUUAAAAAGUAUUUGCUGAUCGGAAAUAAACGAUUAAGAAUUAGUUGAACAUGUUUAACAUUGUGCAUAACACUAACGUUUCAAGGUCAUGCUCCCCAAACAAGAAGCCUUUUAUCGUACUGUUUGUACGUAAAGAGAGAAAUGCAUCGAUCAGAGAGAAGAAGACCUAGUGAAAGUUUGUUUUCUGAGGACUGGUAAAUAUACAAACGGCACACAUCCGUUCUUGUUUGGACUCCAAGAUGAUCUGAUAAUGAGAGACGAUCACAGCUUAUAAAUUAUAAAUAUCACAGCUGUUGAACAGGCUAUUUUUGUUCAUUCUUGGGAUCAUCUUUCUUGCUGACGAGGAGUAUCAUUUAAGAAUCACUCUACCUAGCUGGCAAUUUGGAGAAAAUAGUUAUUUCUGAUGCUGAACCUUCCUUUGGUUAAGGGUCACUCCUGCAGUAUCCCUUCAAGCUAGUAAAAACAAAAAACAAAACACAAAAAAAACCAAGAUACCUGUUUUUGCUUUUGAGAUAUAAGAUGUCUGUUUCUGGUUGUGGUAGACCCCGGAAAGAGGUUGAAAAGUCUGUUAGAUUGCUUUCCUGAAUCAAAAUGAAGGCAGAUAAUAGAAAUUUGAAAGCAUUUUACGUGCUCUCUUACCUACUCACUGAUAAUUACAACUUAAGUGAUUAUGUACCUCUUAACUGUGAUCCUUACCUAACAACCGUGAACUACCAUGUGGCUUUAUUAUUAUGUCAGCAAGUAAAUGAUAUUUUGUUGAUUAAAAAUUUCAUUUAAACACAUUUGACUGCCAUAAAAGAAAUUUGUGAUUGGCCCCAUUUUAUAGAUGAUAAAAUUUAGUUUCUCACUUUCUGAUUUGCCCAAGGCUAAUCCGCUAAAGAGGCAGGCAGACUUAGAGCUUGCAUCCAGUUCUGACUUGUCCUCUUUCAACUACACCACAGCUGCCAAAGAAAAACAAAUGAAUAUGAUGCUCUAAGAACAUUUAAUAUUUUUACAAUUCUACUCCCAUUCUCAUAGUUAUUAUUUGUAGAGCAGGCCCAGGAUGUAUACUUUAAGCUUAUAUUUUUAGCUGUCUUCCUAUUUCUGCUGGGCUGCAGGAUGGAAUGCUAAGGGGCGAGAAGAGUGCGGAAGCGCUGUUGUGGCACCAAGCAGUUUUCUAUUGCCCAUACAUUUCAAGUGCGAUUGCCUAUUGCCUCAUCCUACCCGGCAGUACUUGCAGGUCUCACCCCCACUAUCAGAGAUGUUGUGGUAAAUAUCAUAUUCCCUGUUCUAUUAUUUUUCAGUGAUGUUACAGUGCCCUGUAUUCUUUAAUACCAAUCUCUAUGAGCAGUGCCCCAGGCAGCCAUUCAGUCCUUAAUCCCGAUCCAGCUGUUAUUGUUUUCCCCACUGGUACUGGGUCCUUCAAAUACUCUAAAGCAGGACCUGAAUAAGAGAAUAAUGGAGUGCCGCUAAACUAAUAUGCUAUGCUAGAUUCCACUGGUAUUCUCAAUAACCAAGCCUUCAAGACUGCUCAGAGUCACCUUCUCUGGGAGACUGCCCUACUCUGACUACCUUAUUUAACAUUGUACUUACAGCUCACCCACACUCCCUGCCCUGCACUCUCUAUUCUCCUAACCUUGCUCAGCUGUUUUCCAUGGCAUGUACUAUUUCAUUUCCUUGUUUAUUAUGUUUUUGUUUUGUCUGUCUUUCCCAACUAGAAUGUAAGUUUCAUAAGAGAGAGGAUUUUGUUUUGUUUUCUGUUUUGCUCACUGACAGAUCCUUAGCUCCCAGAACAGUGCCUGGCAAAUUACAGGCACUCAAAUGGACUUAGGUUGUGUGGCACCUGAAGUUUAUAUAAUGAAGGAGACCUGUUUAAGGAAAAAAAAAUACAAGACUGGGUAUGAAAGCGAAUAUUUAUUUGAAAUGAGAGGACAUAACUACAAAUUGUUUUUAAAGCUGACAACACAAAAAUCGCUAAAUCCGGAAACAUAGCAUAUUUUUUAAAUUGACAUAUUAAAUACAAAGCAUACUUUUCCAUCUCAGUAGUCAUUAGAGAGGUUGAAAGUUGGCAUAAGGGAGAACGUGUAGGACCUUCUAGAUUCAUGCUAGGGUGUUUCUGUGAUUGCUCUCCAGAUUAAAAUAAGAAAAGUUGGGCAUUUAGUGAUUAAUGAACUGUGUUGAUGUUGUCUUUUAUUCAUUAUGAGUUUAAUAACUAUUUUAAUUUUUAUUGUGAAAAAUGUCAAACAUACAUCAAAGGAGUAGAAAUAACCCCCACCCUUGAUUAUCAGCACUGUUAACAUUUACGAAUCUAUAUUUGUACUUCUUCAUUUGUUUGUUUUCUGGGGUGUUUUAAAGCAAAUAACCAGAUGAAAUAUUUCACUGAUAAUUAGUGUAUAGCUCUAACAGAUAAGGGCUCUUUUUAGCGUCACCAUACUACCACUAGCACAUGUAACAAAAUUAGCAAUAAUUCCUUACUAUCUUGGAAUUCCCACUCUACUCAAUUUUCCUCCAUUGACUUAAAAAUGUAAUUUUACAUUUGCUUUAUACUAAUCAAGAUUUUAAAAGUCUACAGUUAGCUUUUUUGUUGAUAUGGAUCUUAUAUUUCUUUUAAUCUGUAAUGAUCUGCCCCCCCUUUUUAAAUGUCAUUCAUCUGUUGAAAAAUUGGGUCAUUUUACCUGUUGAAUAUCCCAAACCCUCUUGGAUUUAGCUCAAUAAUUAUUCUUGAUCAUAAGCAGUACUGUAGUAUUAUAGACAAAGCACAAUAUUUAGAAACAAAAAUCCUGAGUUAUACUCCAGCUUAGCCACUUGAGCAGUGUGUCCUUAAACAGAUCAUUUCAUAUCUCAUUGGCAAAACUAGUGUUGAAAUAAGUUAUAUUGAAAGUUCUUUUCAGCUGCUAGGAAAUUCAACUCCCAAUUCCACUCCUUAUUUUAGAAUGAAACUACAAAAGGAAAAAGAGAAGUUUACUAUGAAGUAGUAGAGGCGAUAGUCCAACGUAUCAACAGACUGUUUGAUCUUGGUACAUUAUUUUCCCUAACACAUUUUAUCUCUUGACAUUUAUUAUUACUGACUUGUAAGGUUGAGAGAAUAAUAUUACUGGCCCCAACCUUCCUCAAAAAGCUAAGUAGAUGCAAUUCCUAUGACAAUACUUGAAACCCUUUCAAGGAAAUGUAAUAUAUAACUCUGAGGUGUAAUUUUUAGCAGGUACCCUAGUAACAAAUAUUAAACUUAAUGUAAUCCAUUUCAUUUUGUGGCUGAGUACUUUUCUAAAUUGCUUCAAUAUGAGUCAACAUUGUAAUUUUCAGUGUAGCUGAGAAAAAUAAAACAUUUUGGUUGGAAUUUCUUCCAUGAGCAGAUGCAUUAAUUGGAAUAACAAAGGUUGUUUGCUUUGCUGUAUAAACAUUAUGGAUCUGACAGCAUUUUUAGAAACUUGCUUUCAUGUAUGUGUUGACAGCUUGUCUGAAAAAAGCUCAAACACACUUUUAGAUCAGUUAAAUCAAUUAUUUCCCUCCUGGCAUGGAUUCAGUGCCUAUCUAUACUGAAUACUUUAAAACUGGCGAGGCUGAAUAAGGAGACACCAAUGUCACCUUGAAUUGAUUAUCCACUUUGUUAUGGCUGUGCUUUGGAAUUAAAGCAAACCUUGACAAAACGAUACAGUAUACAUAUUAUUUGAAGUCUUUUAUAAUCCACUUUUAAUGACCUUAAGUGGGUGUUAAUGCUUUGGCUCGAAGGCUCAAUCCUGUUAACGGUAACUACAAAGCUUUGACAUGAUUAAUUAGUGUAAACUUAAGAUCAAUUAGGUAAUUUCAAAAUUCCCAAAUGCUCUGUAAGUGAUAAAAAGUUCACCCUCUAAUAAAAACCUUUAAGAAAUAAA